rnacentral:lncRNA from 1 species
GGCUAAUGACGAGCCUAUUCUCAUGUAGAGGACCGUUUUAGGGGCCCCUCAAGCUCUUGUAGUGCCUUCAUGCAUUGAUGGGAUCUUGGAGCUUUGCUUCCUUUAGAAUUGUGAGGAUCCUACCCAGAGAAGGAGAUUAGGAGGGAGAUUUUUCUUUAUAGAUUAAAUCUCCCCUCUCUUCUCUAACCCUAGAUCUGGACUAAGAGGGCUCCUAAAAUCUAAGAGCCAAUGCUUCCUAAGGUUUUGAAAUCCUUCUCAUAACUUAGACAAAGAGAGGAGGGGAUUGUAAUUGUAAAGAGUGAAGAAAUUUGAACGGAUGGUACAAACAUGAGGUUUUAAAAUGUUCUUUCAGAUCAUAGGGAAUAUAUAGAAGGCCGGGUAUCAAGUUGCGAUUGGUAGUUAGGCUUUACCAUGGAUCAUGACUUCUAAUGGUAAGGAUUUAAGAAGAGAAAGUGUAAAAUGGAUCCAAUUUCUUAGAUUAGUGAGUCAAAAUAAUAGGUCACAUUAGUUUGUGAACUUAGUGACCAAACUAAGCUUUUAAUCUAACUAGGCAACUGAGGUGACAGUCUAAAUGACCUGGGAGCUCCAAAUUUGAUAGAAUUUUGGCGGAUGGAAGAGGGGAUGUGAUGAUAGGUGUUGAUUAUGUUUAGACCAUGUUUGACUAGAAGUCGAAACUAAUAUAACAUCAUCAGAAAUUAGGUCAAAAUGCAGAAAAUGAUAGAAAAAUGCUAAAAUAAAAUAGAAAAAAAUUUUGUAACACUUGGUUGGGCCCCUACUAAUGGAUUGUGUAUAAUAGCAAAGGAUGAAGGGCGAAAAAAGGGAUGGAAAUAGAUCUCUAGGUUUUAGCUAGAUGUAACUCGUAAUGAAGCGAGUCAUUCAACCUUGCAAGUAUAGAGGGAGACACAAGAGCAACAUAGUGGAUGCCAAAAGGUGUCUACUAUUCAAUGAAGGAAUUAAAGUUGAUAAGAUAUACAUGGUUAACAAGGAUAAAUUCCAUGUUAGUUCCCCUCCUUAGAUGCAUCUAUUAUUAUAAUGACAUUUGUUUCUUAAGAAAAAAAAAUAUAGUAACUCAUUUUAACAAAUGAAGAUUCAUUUGUUCAAACAUAGACAUUAACUCAAGGAAGUAAAAAUGUAAAUAUUAAUUAGGAAAGCUGGCCUUUACUUAUUUGGGGGCUUUUACUGUACUAAUAAAUGUC